rnacentral:rRNA from 11 species
UGUUGCUGCUUAAGUACCCUAAAGACACCAGAUCCCAUCUUAUUUUGGAAGCUAAACAGGAUCAGCCCUGGUUACUACUUGAGUGAAAGAGCGCCAAUGAAUACCAGGUGGUGUAGGCUACAU